rnacentral:rRNA from 1 species
CCUACGGGUGGCAGCAGUGGGGAAUCUUGGGCAAUGGGCGCAAGCCUGACCCAGCAACGCCGCGUGAAGGAAGAAGGCUUUCGGGUUGUAAACUUCUUUUUUCAGGGACGAAGCAAGUGACGGUACCUGAGGAAUGAGCCACGGCUAACUACGUGCCAGCACACGCGGUAAUACGUAGGUGGCAAGCGUUCUCCGGAUGGACUGGGUGUAAAGGGCGUGUAGGCGGGAAAGCAAGUCUGAUGUGAAAACCAUGGGCUCAACCUGUGGCGGGCAGUUGAAACUGUUUUUCUUGAGUAUUGGAGAGGCAGACGGAAUUCCUAGUGUAGCGGUGAAAUGCGUAGAUAUUAGGAGGAACACCAGUGGCGAAGGCGGUUUGCUGGACAGCAACUGACGCUGAGGCGCGAAAGCGUGGGGAGCAAACAGGAUUAGAUACCCCUGUAGUC